GAUGAACGCUAGCGGCAGGCCUAACACAUGCAAGUCGAACGGUAACAGGAAUUAGCUUGCUAAUUUGCUGACGAGUGGCGCACGGGUGCGUAACGCGUAUACAAUCUGCCUUUUACAGGGGGAUAGCCCAGAGAAAUUCGGAUUAAUACCCCAUGGUAUUAUCAGAUGGCAUCUGAAGAUAAUUAAAGAUUCAUUGGUAAAGGAUGGGCAUGCGUGACAUUAGUUAGUUGGUAAGGUAACGGCUUACCAAGACGAUGAUGUCUAGGGGUUCUGAGAGGAAGAUCCCCCACACUGGUACUGAGACACGGACCAGACUCCUACGGGAGGCAGCAGUAGGGAAUAUUGGGCAAUGGAGGCAACUCUGACCCAGCCAUGCCGCGUGCAGGAAGACAGCUUUCUGAGUUGUAAACUGCUUUUAUAUAGGAACAAAGAGGCCAUGCGUGGCAAGUUGCGUGUACUAUAUGAAUAAGCACCGGCUAACUCCGUG
rnacentral:rRNA from 1 species